AGCAGGUUGGCAGACUAGUGCCCUUGAUUUAGGAUCAAGAUAUGAAUCAUAUUCACCUACUA
rnacentral:tRNA from 1 species